rnacentral:rRNA from 1 species
AGCAGCCGCGGUAAUUCCAGCUCCAAUAGCGUAUAUUAAAGUUGUUGCAGUUAAAAAGCUCGUAGUUGAAUUUCGGGAUCAAUACGUCGGUCGUGCUUUUGGGUACGUACUGGCGUUAUUGGUUUCUCUCUUCUGACGAACCAUGAUGUCAUUAAUUUGGUGUUAUGGGGAGUUAGGACUGUUACUUUGAAAAAAUUAGAGUGUUUAAAGCAGGCAUUAGCUUGAAUACAUUAGCAUGGAAUAAUGAAAUAGGACGUUUGAUCCUAUUUUGUUGGUUUCUAGGAUCGACGUAAUGAUUAAUAGGGAUAGUUGGGGGCAUUAGUAUUCAAUUGUCAGAGGUGAAAUUCUUGGAUUUAUUGAAGACUAACUACUGCGAAAGCAUUUGCCAAGGAUGUUUUCAUUAAUCAAGAACGAAAGUUAGGGGAUCGAAGACGAUCAGAUACCGUCGUAGUCUUAACCAUAAACUAUGCCGACUAGGGAUCGGAUGAUGUUAAUUUUUAAUGACUCAUUCGGCGCCUAC